rnacentral:lncRNA from 1 species
ACAAAACAGAAAAUCGUUUUUCCCCCAAAAAAAGAAGAAAAAAGAGCCGAUUUCUAACUUUUUUGAUGUGUCCAACGUGAUUUUCGAGCGAAUUUACCCUUAAAAUUGUGCACAGUUGGCUGUAUCUCUUGCGUGCAACAGGCCCAUCUUAUAAGAUUUCAUAAGUUCCAAACUGACAAAAUUAGUAUUUCUUUCAAAUGGCAACGAGAAGUAGCCGAGCCGAGUCAGAUGGCGGCGAGUUGUGAAUGAUCGAUUAUCGAUAUUUCCCCAUUUGAAGCUGUGCUAAGGAAUCUAUCAUGAACAUGUUCGUUGUGAACACCCUGUUUAUCGAUACUUUUUCACAGGUUUAAAUGGCAGAUCAAUCGAUAUAUCGCAAAGCACGCCACGCCACUGGUCCCUUGUGACUGUAAAAUCUUUAUUUUGUGUGCAAACAAAGACGUGACGCAAGUAUCCGCAAUUCAACUUCAAGGUUGUAACGUUUUUAGGCGUGUUAAAGCAUCACGGUCUUUUUAUUUUUGGAAAGUUUCUUUUGAAGCGUAUCUUUCAUAAUAUUUUUACAGCAUGAGACGUCAUAAUUUUGUUGGAAAAAACGCUCUAAAGCAAAACCCGUACCGCUAUUCAAGUGACGUUAUUCAAAACUUUAAAGUAACGAGACGGUUUGCCCAUGACUGGUCUGAGAUCUUUGCUGUUAUUACCAGUGACCAAUUUAAAGCAUUGGAUCAAGAAUACGAGAAAAAAAUUAAUAAGUACGAAUUUCCAUCAAUGGAUCGCUUGCGAGAUGUUGUCGAAAAUUAUGUGGAAUUUCAACGAUCCAAGAAUAUUUCUGCCAAGGAUCUUGCCAAUGGCAAUUUUAUCGGGACAAAACACAUUACAAAGCUGAGAAGUGAAGACUGUUAUGUAAUCGGUUCCCAUUUAUUGACAAUCUACAUAGGCAAUCCAUUGCGUUGGACUGGUUUAACGAGGCGAUGGACAGGUUUAUCGAAGAAAGAGAGUUGCAAGAUUACAAGGAAUCGCUGGUCGUGGACCUUGCUUUCACCCUGUCCGAAACAGGGCACACUAAAAGGGGAAUCGAUUUAG